rnacentral:rRNA from 1 species
UCCGUAGGUGAACCUGCGGAAGGAUCAUUACAGAGUUCAUGCCCGAAAGGGUAGACCUCCCACCCUUGUGUAUUAUUACUUUGUUGCUUUGGCGAGCUGCCCCUCGGGGCCUUGCAUGCUCGCCAGAGAAUGUCAAAACUCUUUUUAUUAAUGUCGUCUGAGUACUAUAUAAUAGUUAAAACUUUCAACAACGGAUCUCUUGGUUCUGGCAUCGAUGAAGAACGCAGCGAAAUGCGAUAAGUAAUGUGAAUUGCAGAAUUCAGUGAAUCAUCGAAUCUUUGAACGCACAUUGCGCCCCUUGGUAUUCCGGGGGGCAUGCCUGUUCGAGCGUCAUUUCAACCCUCAAGCUCAGCUUGGUAUUGAGUCCAUGUCAGCAAUGGCAGGCUCUAAAAUCAGUGGCGGCGCCGCUGGGUCCUGAACGUAGUAAUAUCUCUCGUUACAGGUUCUCGGCGUGCUUCUGCCAAAACCCAAAUUUUCUAUGGUUGACCUCGGAUCAGGUAGGGAUACCCGCUGAACUUAAGCAUAUCAAUAAGCGGAGGA